rnacentral:misc_RNA from 1 species
GAUGAAGACGUAGUGAAAUGCGAUAAGUAAUGUGAAUUGCAGAAUUCAGUGAAUCAUCGAAUCUUUGAACGCACAUUGCGCCCGCCAGUAUUCUGGCGGGCAUGCCUGUUCGAGCGUCAUUUCAACCCUCAGGCCCCCAGUGCCUGGUGUUGGGGAUCGGCCCAGCCUUCCUGUAAGGCCGCCGGCCCCGAAAUCUAGUGGCGGUCUCGCUGUAGUCCUCCUCUGCGUAGUAGCACAACCUCGCAGUUGGAACGCGGCGGUGGCCAUGCCGUUAAACACCCCACUUCUGAAAGUUGACCUCGGAUCAGGUAGGAAUACCCGCUGAACUUAAGCAUAUCAAUAAGCGGAGGA